rnacentral:rRNA from 1 species
AAUAGAUACCCGGGUAGUCCACGCCGUAAACGAUGAGUGCUAAGUGUUAGAGGGUUUCCGCCCUUUAGUGCUGCAGCUAACGCAUUAAGCACUCCGCCUGGGGAGUACGGCCGCAAGGCUGAAACUCAAAGGAAUUGACGGGGGCCCGCACAAGCGGUGGAGCAUGUGGUUUAAUUCGAAGCAACGCGAAGAACCUUACCAGGUCUUGACAUCCUCUGCCAACCCUAGAGAUAGGGCGUUCCCCUUCGGGGGACAGAGUGACAGGUGGUGCAUGGUUGUCGUCAGCUCGUGUCGUGAGAUGUUGGGUUAAGUCCCGCAACGAGCGCAACCCUUGAUCUUAGUUGCCAGCAUUCAGUUGGGCACUCUAAGGUGACUGCCGGUGACAAACCGGAGGAAGGUGGGGAUGACGUCAAAUCAUCAUGCCCCUUAUGACCUGGGCUACACACGUGCUACAAUGGAUGGUACAAAGAGCUGCGAACCCGCGGGGUAAGCGAAUCUCAUAAAGCCAUUCUCAGUUCGGA